rnacentral:ncRNA from 1 species
UUAUAGUCCGAGCUUCGCUGCAAAAUCAGCGAACGGGUGUGGAAGCCCGCUUU